UUUGAGAGAGAAAAGUCUGUGGCUAACCUAGAAUACUUGAAGAAUGUUCUAUUGCAGUUCAUAUUUCUGAAAUCAGGAAGCGAGAAGGAACGGCUGCUCCCAGUGAUAGACACCAUGUUGCAGCUCAGCCCUGAAGAGAAAGGGAAGUUGGUUGCAAUUGCCCAAGGUGAAGAAGAGAGUACCUCACGGCCUUCUGGGUGGGCUUCAUACCUCCACAGCUGGUCAGGACUUCGAUAAAACAGUGGAAACACUGAAUCUUUAAAAACAUUCCAAAAACAACUGCAAACCAGAGAAAUCUUACUGUAGAUCUGUUGGUGUUGUAGCGUUGAACUACAGGGUUUUAUUUCUGUGUGUUAUUUUCAGCUUUUUAGGCUCUACUAAGAAAGCAGCCUGCAGUAGCUCUGAAACAUGGUCCUAUGUUAUGCUCUGGCAGCAGUGAAUUAUUUUUCUUGUAAAUGUUAAAGCUGAUAGUAAGAACUAUGAGAAGUGACAAAUUAAUUGCAAAUAGCUUGGAAACAGAAUAUGUCACCCUGUGAUAGCUCUUUUGAUAUCAGUUUAAAAGUUUGACCUGAUAUAUUAACUGGAAUAACUAGAGUUUAGAUUUAAAACAUUUAAAAGUGUUUACAGUUGCUUUCACAUAUCACUGUCAGCUAGCUAAUCUAUAUGGUUAAUGUUAUUCUCUACACAUUUAAGAAAUCUAAAAUUAUUUCCUCUCUUGUGAUGGCUACAAAAUAUGAGACAAUUAAGAAACAGAAAGGGCAUUUUCUGCUUUAAAGUUGUAGUCUUUCCUAAAUUAUUUUGCUUUUGCAGAACAUGAAGGCAACAGUUCACAAAAUGUAGAGGGUGCAAAAAUCUGUAUGAAAUACAGUGCUUGUCACAGCUGGUACUGUAGUUGAGAUUAAUGGCAUCUCUGGAAGCCAUAGGAUAGUACUGCAAUACUCUGAGGUCCUAAAUGAGCUAAAGCUUUGUGAAAAAGGACUGAAGCUAGGGCUUUUUAAUCUGAGGUUGGAAGUUCGUGGAAAAGACCAGGAAGAAACGUUCCAUUACUGUAACGAUGUCUGUAAUUGGAUUACAAGACUACUCAUACUGACUUAGUCAUAGUGAAGACACUAAAGAAAGAAUUUGAGCCCACAGGUCAGACUCCUAACAUUAACUUCUGAGAGAAAAUAAUGAAACUUUUGUCAAUAGAUGCAUCUUUUAAAUGUUCUAAUGAUUGAAAAUCUUAUUCUCUCACUUA
rnacentral:lncRNA from 1 species